AUUGAACGCUGGCGGCAUGCUUUACACAUGCAAGUCGAACGGCAGCAUGGGUGCUUGCACCUGAUGGCGAGUGGCGAACGGGUGAGUAAUGUAUCGGAACAUGUCCGGAAGUGGGGGAUAACGUAGCGAAAGUUACGCUAAUACCGCAUAUGCCCUGAGGGGGAAAGGUGGGGAUCGCAAGACCUAUCGCUUUCGGAGUGGCCGAUAUCAGAUUAGCUUGUUGGUGAGGUAAAGGCUCACCAAGGCGACGAUCUGUAGCUGGUCUGAGAGGACGACCAGCCACACUGGGACUGAGACACGGCCCAGACUCCUACGGGAGGCAGCAGUGGGGAAUUUUGGACAAUGGGGGCAACCCUGAUCCAGCCAUGCCGCGUGAGUGAAGAAGGCCUUCGGGUUGUAAAGCUCUUUCAGAUGGAAAGAAAUCGCUAUUCCUAAUACGAGGGGUGGAUGACGGUACCGUCAGAAGAAGCACCGGCUAACUACGUGCCAGCAGCCGCAGUAACAC
rnacentral:rRNA from 1 species